GUGUCAGCAGCCGCGGUAAUACGAAGGGGGCUAGCGUUGUUCGGAAUUACUGGGCGUAAAGGGCGUGUAGGCGGCCCGUUAAGACAGGUGUGAAAUUCCUGGGCUCAACCCAGGACGUGCGCCUGUGACUGGCGGGCUUGAGUCCGGGAGAGGAUGGUGGAACUCCCAGUGUAGAGGUGAAAUUCGUAGAUAUUGGGAAGAACACCCGUGGCGAAGGCGGCCAUCUGGACCGGUACUGACGCUAAGGCGCGACAGCGUGGGGAGCAAACAGGAUUAGAUACCCUCGUAGUCC
rnacentral:rRNA from 1 species